CUGGCUUCUCAAAAGCUUCUGGGAGGAUCCUUUUAGGUUUCAGAUUUGAUGGCCAGGCAAACAGUAAGAAGGAACACCUGAAACCACUUCCGAAGUCAGAACACCUCGAUUCUGCUUGAGGCUACUUGCCUAGAACUGCAGCAAAGAUGGCGCCACGCGCUCCCCCGCGCUCCUUUCACUGCAGAGUCAGCAGUGGUUUAGUCAUAGAACUUCUCGCGCAGGCAUGCUCUCUGAAGGGAAACCUUGCUGCUGGCGUACACACCCUAUACUAAAGAAGUUUCCAGAGGAUGGCAGUUUGCUGCGAGGGGCAGUUGGGUGGAAGCAGUGGGACUGGGGCUUAAACAUGCAGCUGAACUGUGCCAGACGUAUGCAUGAGGCUCCUUGCUGUGUGGGAGGACAGGACAGGAAGCUGGGGAUGGGGCUGAAAGGUGCAGCUCUCCCUAAAGCUGCCAUGUUCCAGCAUGCAUAUUUAGCAGUUUAAUGAUUUUAUUUCAAAACGUAAGCAAUAAAUAAAUCAAUUCUCAGUUCAUCAUAGGCAGCAUGAUCCAAUGACCAUUCAUUUAUUAAGACACCAGAUAUUUAUUGAGCACCUUCUGUGUGCCAGGGACUCUUGUUCUGAACA